UACGUAGGGGGCAAGCGUUGUCCGGAUUUAUUGGGAGUAAAGAGCGUGUAGGCGGCUUUACAGGUCCGUUGUGAAAACUCGAGGCUCAACCUCGAGACGCCGGUGGAAACCGUAAAGCUAGAGUCCGGAAGAGGAGAGUGGAAUUCCUGGUGUAGCGGUGAAAUGCGCAGAUAUCAGGAAGAACACCCGUGGCGAAGGCGGCUCUCUGGGACGGUACUGACGCUGAGACGCGAAAGCGUGGGGAGCGAACAGG
rnacentral:rRNA from 1 species